UACGAGGGGUGCAAGCGUUAAUCGGAAUUACUGGGCGUAAAGCGCGCGUAGGUGGAUAGGUCAGUCAGAUGUGAAAGCCCAGGGCUCAACCUUGGAAUUGCAUCUGAUACUGCCUAUCUAGAGUACAGUAGAGGGGUGUGGAAUUUCCUGUGUAGCGGUGAAAUGCGUAGAUAUAGGAAGGAACACCAGUGGCGAAGGCGACACCCUGGACUGAUACUGACGCUGAGGUGCGAAAGUGUGGGGAGCAAACAGG
rnacentral:rRNA from 1 species